rnacentral:rRNA from 1 species
AGUGGCGGACGGGUGAGUAACGCGUGAGAAUCUGCCUUGGGGUCGGGGACAACCACUGGAAACGGUGGCUAAUACCGGAUAAGCCGAUUGGUGAAAGAUUUAUUGCCCGAAGAGGAGCUCGCGUCUGAUUAGCUAGUUGGUGAGGUAAGAGCUCACCAAGGCAGCGAUCAGUAGCUGGUCUGUGAGGACGAUCAGCCACACUGGGACUGAGACACGGCCCAGACUCCUACGGGAGGCAGCAGUGGGGAAUUUUCCGCAAUGGGCGAAAGCCUGACGGAGCAAGACCGCGUGAGGGAGGAAGGCUCUUGGGUUGUAAACCUCUUUUCUCAGGGAAGAAGCUCUGACGGUACCUGAGGAAUCAGCCUCGGCUAACUCCGUGCCAGCAGCCGCGGUAAUACGGAGGAGGCAAGCGUUAUCCGGAAUUAUUGGGCGUAAAGCGUCCGCAGGUGGCGAUUCAAGUCUGCUGUCAAAGCACGGGGCUUAACUCCGUAAAGGCAGUGGAAACUGAAUAGCUAGAGUGCCGUAGGGGUAGAGGGAAUUCCCGGUGUAGCGGUGAAAUGCGUAGAGAUCGGGAAGAACAUCGGUGGCGAAAGCGCUCUACUGGACGGCAACUGACACUCAGGGACGAAAGCUAGGGGAGCGAAUGGGAUUAGAUACCCC